rnacentral:siRNA from 1 species
UGGUGAAUAUAGAGAUGUUCUA